rnacentral:rRNA from 1 species
UAAUGUGAAUUGCAGAAUUCAGUGAAUCAUCGAAUCUUUGAACGCACCUUGCGCUCUUUGGUAUUCCGAGGAGCAUGCCUGUUUGAGUGUCAUUAAAUUCUCAACCUU